ACAGGCCUUUGGGUCAAAAGCCCAUUCAGCAGUUCACUAUUCACUAGGGUUUCAUUUUCACUAUAAAUUCUUACAACCUUCACCUUCUUCACUCCGAAACCUCACUCACUUCUCAGCGGCCAUCGAUUAGGGUUUUGGAUUUGUUCAUUUCACCAUGAGAGCGAAGUGGAAGAAGAAGCGUAUGAGGAGGCUGAAGAGGAAGCGCCGAAAGAUGAGACAGAGAUCCAAGUAGAGCGAUCGAUCGGUGCUAGUUUCUUGAUUUCCGUGUUUUCGUUUUGUUUAAUUUUGUUAAAGUGGACACCCCAGUAGCAAUUGUCUAUCUUCUUUUGGAUGUUGUUUUGAUAGAUUCUAUUGGAUUAACUUUGGAUUAUGUUAAUUUUACCUUAUGCUAGUUCCAAUCGAGAUUUUCGUAUUUCGAGA